AGAACGAAAUUUCGGUUCAAACUUUCAAGCCAUCGUCUCCAGUCACCCAUCUUCAUACUGCUCCGAAAGCCGAAACGAAAUUUUACUACGAAAUGCUCCGAAAUGAUAGGACCCCGUUAUUGCACUCAAGGGAGUCUAACCAUGAUCCACAGUCCGUAAAAUCACAGAUAAAACUCAGUGCUGCUCAUCGUCUUUGUUGAUUUUCAGUGCAAGGCGAGAGAAUCUGAGCUCGACUCUCUCUUCUGUGUCUGCGUUUCCUUCAUAAUUUGAACCUUCAAAACCCUAACCAUGGCGACGCGUUACUGGGUGAUAUCGCUUCCGGUUGAGAACUCAGCGUCUUCUUUAUGGAGUAGAUUACGGGAAUCGAUCUCAAGGCAUGCCUUUGACACUCCUCUUUAUAGGUUCAAUAUACCAGACCUUAGGGUUGGUACCCUCGAUUCUCUUCUCGCAUUGAGCGAUGAUCUCGUAAAGUCGAACAGUUUUGUGGAAGGUGUUUCGCAUAAACUAAGGCGUCAAAUUGAAGAAUUGGAGAGGAGUUCAGGUGUAGAGACCGGCACUCUCACAGUUGAUGGAGUUCCAGUGGAUUCUUAUAUUACAAGGUUUGUGUGGGAUGAAGCUAAGUACCCCACUAUGUCACCUCUCAGAGAGAUUGUCGACAAUAUUCUUGCUCAUGUGUCCAGGAUUGAAGAUGAUCUUAAGGUGCGUGUGGCGGAGUUCAACAAUGUUCGCAGUCAGCUGAAUGCGAUCAAGAGAAAGCAAAGUGGGAGCUUAGCUGUGCGUGAUCUCUCUGAUAUAGUGAAACCAGAGGAUAUUAUAACAUCUGAACAUUUGGUAACACUACUCGCAAUCGUUCCCAAGUAUUCUCAGAAGGACUGGUUAUCAAGCUAUGAGACUCUUACUACAUUUGUGGUGCCAAGGUCCUCUAAGAAGUUGUAUGAGGACAAUGAGUAUGCUCUCUACACUGUAAUACUGUUUCGUAAAGUUGCAGACAAUUUCAGAAUCAGUGCACGUGAGAGGGGAUUUCAGAUUCGUGAUUUCGAAUACAGUCCUGAAGCACAAGAUAAGCGACAACAGGAAUUGGAGAAGUUGCUGCAAGACCAGGAAACAAUGAGCCACUCUCUUCUACAAUGGUGCUAUGCUAGUUACGGGGAGGUUUUCAGCUCCUGGAUGCAUUUCUGUGCAGUUCGUGUCUUUGCAGAGAGCAUUCUGAGAUAUGGCUUGCCUCCAUCUUUCUUGGCCGCGGUCUUAGCUCCACCAACCAAGAGUGAGAAGAAAGUUCGUAGUAUUUUAGAAGGGCACUGUGGUAGCAGAAACAGUGCCCUUUGGAAGUCUGAAGAUGAAGGUGGGCUCCUUGGGCUUGUAGGCGAGGCAGAUGCAUAUCCUUAUGUCUCCUUCACAAUCAAUUUGAUUUAAUCGUUAUUUGCAUCCUCCAUUUCAAAAGCCUAAGUUCGAGGGAUCGAUCGACUUUGGUAUGGUGUCAGUGCCCGGUUGGACUCUGGAGGUUUAAAUCAGAGCCUAUCGCUGUGGGUUUUGAAGUAUCAAUAUCUGAAAAAUUGGGUAAUGUAUUUAUCUUUGUUGAGGUUUUAAUUGAUGGAUUGUAGUGUUGAGAAACGACUGUAGAAACCAAUUGAGUGGCGUCCUUUGUCCAUUCUUGAUGAUAGAAUCAAUCGUACCCAGAUGAAUGUUUCAUGGGAACUUGUGAUUGAUCUUCUACCGCACAUCAUGGGAAACGGAUUUUGUAUGUUGUUGCACCGUACAUCACAUAUGUGGAGGUCCAUCUUAAAAAUGGACGUUUGCGAGUCAAAA